UUUACCUAUGACUUAAGUUUCCACUUUGAUACAGCAGCAAAGACUCCGUCCGCCUCGGCCACCGCCUCCAAAGAUACAGCGUUCUUCUAGGCCCGUCCGGCCUCCAAGACCUCAUGUUGUUAAGAGACCUAAGAGCAAUAUUGCUGUGGAAGGGCGAAGGACUUCGGUUUCGAGUCCCGAACACCUGGUAAAGCCCAUGCGACACUAUACGGUCUUCCUCUCUGAGGACUCCUCUGAUGAUGAAUUUCGGCAGGAAGAGGAUCCUGUCUGUGGCUUCUCUGAAAACUUUUUCUUCUCUGCUCCUUUC